rnacentral:rRNA from 1 species
CGGCCGCGUCGACGUUAAAAAGCUCGUAGUUGGACCUUGGACCUGGACAGGCGGUCCGCCUCACGGCGAGUACUGUCUUGCUGGGUCUUUCCUCUUGGUGAUCUGUUGUUUCGGCAGCAGGGAACCAGGACCUUUACUUUGAAAAAUUAGAGUGUUCAAAGCAGGCUCGACGCCGGAAUAUAUUAGCAUGGAAUAAUAAAAUAGGACGUGCGGUUCUAUUUUGUUGGUUUUGGAAUCGCCGCAAUGAUUAAUAGGGACAGUCGGGGGCAUUAGUACUCACAUGCUAGAGGUGAAAUUCUUGGAUUUUGUGAAGACUAACUUCUGCGAAAGCAUUUGCCAAGGAU